rnacentral:rRNA from 1 species
GACGAACGCUGGCGGCGUGCCUAAUACAUGCAAGUCGAGCGCCGAAGGUUGGUACUUGUACCAACUGGAUGAGCAGCGAACGGGUGAGUAACGCGUGGGGAAUCUGCUUUUGAGCGGGGGACAACAUUUGGAAACGAAUGCUAAUACCGCAUAAAAACUUUAAACACAAGUUUUAAGUGUGAAAGAUGCAAUUGCAUCACUCAAAGAUGAUCCCGCGUUGUAUUAGCUAGUUGGUGAGGUAAAGGCUCACCAAGGCGAUGGUACAUAGCCGACCUGAGAGGGUGGUCGGCCACAUUGGGACUGGGACCCGGCCCCAACUCCUACGGGAGGCAGCAGUAGGGAAUCUUCGGCCAUGGACGGAAGUCUGACCGAGCAACGCCGCGUGAGUGAAGAAGGUUUUCGGAUCGUAAAACUCUGUUGGUAGGGAAGAACGUUGGUGAGAGUGGAAAGCUCAUCAAGUGACGGUAACUACCCAGAAAGGGACGGCUAACUACGUG